rnacentral:rRNA from 1 species
UACGGAGGAUCCGAGCGUUAUCCGGAUUUAUUGGGUUUAAAGGGUGCGUAGGUGGAUUGGUAAGUCAGUGGUGAAAGUUUGCAGCUUAACUGUAAAAUUGCCGUUGAAACUGCCGGUCUUGAGUGCAAAUGAGGUAGGCGGAAUGCGUCGUGUAGCGGUGAAAUGCUUAGAUAUGACGCAGAACUCCGAUUGCGAAGGCAGCUUACUGGUAUGCAACUGACGCUGAGGCACGAAAGCGUGGGGAUCAAACAGGAUUAGAUA